UACGGAGGGAGCUAGCGUUGUUCGGAAUUACUGGGCGUAAAGAGCUCGUAGGCGGUCUGUCGCGUCGGUCGUGAAAACUUGGGGCUUAACCCUGAGCUUGCGUUCGAUACGGGCAUGACUGGAGUUCGGUAGGGGAGACUGGAAUUCCUGGUGUAGCGGUGAAAUGCGCAGAUAUCAGGAGGAACACCGGUGGCGAAGGCGGGUCUCUGGGCCGAUACUGACGCUGAGGAGCGAAAGCGUGGGGAGCGAACAGG
rnacentral:rRNA from 1 species